CCUCCUCAGCCUUACUCCAGGGGCUUGUGCCUGUCGAGUGCCCUGGCAUUGCCUGAGGAUAGACAAGCAAGCACACGUCCCUCCCCAGUAAGACUUUGCUAUCUUUUGGGGCCUACAAGGUGAGCUGACAGU
ensembl:snoRNA SNORA49 small nucleolar RNA, H/ACA box 49